UGAAGUUCAUCUCCCUACCACUCCGUUAGUACUUCUCUCACCCCAUAUGCCCUUGGAAGAUCACAUGUCUCUCUCAUCUUACUCACAACUGAUUGUUAUUGUUUUGCUGCAGAUUUUGUGUCAGAACAGAGAAUUGUUACAGUUGAGAUCAUAGACAAAUCUUAUGUUGCAACAACAAGUUUGGAGGUUGUGCUGAGAAUUAAAAUGUCAAGCUUCAAAAAAUAGAUGCUUCAAGUAUUUAAUCUCUUUCAAAUACUCUUAUCAUGUUCCUUUCAGUGGUUAGAUCCCACAACUAAGAUAUGUUUGCUUCACACUCAUGCUUGUAAUACGCCUAUAUGGUUCCUUAUUUCAUCAUGUCCACGUUUGUAAUUCUCUGGUGCAGCAGAGCUGACCGAUAGUAGAGGUUAACCUUCUUUUUAGCCAAAGCUUCUAGUAUUUUACUAAUUAUAUGUGCUCUUUGGUGCAGCACUCACUCAACAUAUUGAUAUGUAAGUCAAUUUUAACAAAUAACUCUUUGCUUUGUCGUGGUGGCUAAAAUACAUCACACUUAUCUG
rnacentral:lncRNA from 1 species